AGUGAACGCUGGCGGUAGGCCUAACACAUGCAAGUCGAACGGCAGCACAGAGGAGCUUGCUCCUUGGGUGGCGAGUGGCGGACGGGUGAGGAAUACAUCGGAAUCCACUCUGUCGUGGGGGAUAACGUAGGGAAACUUACGCUAAUACCGCAUACGACCUGCGGGUGAGAGCAGGGGAUCUUCGGACCUUGCGCGAUUGAAUGAGCCGAUGUCGGAUUAGCUAGUUGGCGGGGUAAAGGCCCACCAAGGCGACGAUCCGUAGCUGGUCUGAGAGGAUGAUCAGCCACACUGGAACUGAGACACGGUCCAGACUCCUACGGGAGGCAGCAGUGGGGAAUAUUGGACAAUGGGCGCAAGCCUGAUCCAGCCAUACCGCGUGGGUGAAGAAGGCCUUCGGGUUGUAAAGCCCUUUUGUUGGGAAAGAAAUCCAGCUGGCUAAUACCCGGUUGGGAUGACGGUACCCAAAGAAUAAGCACCGGCUAACUUCGUGCCAGCCGCCGCCGUAA
rnacentral:rRNA from 1 species